CAUGCCUUGAAUACGCUUAAAACAAAACAAAAUAAGCAAACUAAAAGCUGUUGAAGCCACCAUUUGCCCACUGUUUUCUGUUUGAUAUGUACAAAUAUAUUAGCUUCACCGUAGCUGUGGCUGUGUCUAAUUCAUCAAUGCAUCAUUAGUACCUUGGAUGAUACAAAACAAGGUUAUAUAUUGCUCAGUUGUUGAAAUGUUAUGAUCAGAAGCUCAUAGGAAUCUAGGAAUAUUAUGUCACGGAGUAGAAAUAUACAAAAUUGUUACACAUUAUUAGAUUAUAUUAAUUCUUGUAAAUUAUGGUAAAAUUUCUAAUCAUACCUUUGAGUCUGCAU
rnacentral:lncRNA from 1 species